GUUUCUCGUUACCAUUCACUUCCCUCCCGAUUAUCCUUUCAAACCACCAAACUGUAGUAAAGUUAGCUUUUGAAAUGCCUCAAGGAAUCAAUGGCCUUAGAUCAAAGUUCAUAGUAAAGUCCUGCAGUAGAUGAUGACGGAGAUUGUUUUUCUCCCUUGGCGCUGAAUGCGACCUCCGUAAACGUUGAAGUCUAUUAUAACAAAGCUGUGAACUAUACAUUGAUGGUCACUUUUGUCUCGUUCCUACAGGUUCUUUUGUUGAUCCGACAAAUGGAGCACAGUAACACACAAUCCGGUGCUGCAAAGGUCUCUAUAGUAAUGAUCGGGUAACAAGCCAUCAUGGAUUCUUAUUUAUGCCUUUUACAUCUCACAGCUGGGAUUUUAGUUGGUAUGUAUUUUAUAAAAUAAUCUCACACUUGUGUUUCCUCUUUGUUUAGAUGGUAAUCUUAUGUUAUAACAAUGUUAAUGUUAAUUUUUGUAACUUUUAAAAUAUUAUUAUUUUAUUUGGGGGACCAAAUACAAAUAGACACCAAUGUUCAUACUAAAAAUAAGAACCUUUCAAAAUAAUACUUUUAAAUUUGGGGGACCAAAAAUUGUCCCUAACCAAU